rnacentral:rRNA from 1 species
UACAGAGGGGGCAAGCGUUAUUCGGAAUUAUUGGGCGUAAAGGGCGCGUAGGCGGCUUUGCAAGUGACGGGUGAAAUCCCUCGGCUUAACCGAGGAACUGCCUGUCAGACUGCACUGCUUGAGUCCGGGAGAGGUGAGUGGAAUUCCCAGUGUAGCGGUGAAAUGCGUAGAUACUGGGAGGAACACCAGUGGCGAAGGCGGCUCACUGGACCGGAACUGACGCUGAGGCGCGAAAGCGUGGGGAGCAAACAGG